rnacentral:rRNA from 1 species
UACGUAGGGACCAAGCGUUGUUCGGAUUUACUGGGCGUAAAGGGCGCGUGGGCGGCGCGGUAAGUCACUUGUGAAAUCUCUGAGCUUAACUCAGAACGGCCAAGUGAUACUGCAGUGCUAGAGUGUGGAAGGGGCAAUCGGAAUUCUUGGUGUAGCGGUGAAAUGCGUAGAUAUCAAGAGGAACACCUGAGGUGAAGACGGGUUGCUGGGCCAACACUGACGCUGAGGCGCGAAAGCCAGGGGAGCAAACGGG